rnacentral:rRNA from 1 species
AUUGAACGCUGGCGGCAUGCCUUACACAUGCAAGUCGAACGGCAGCGCGGGCUUCGGCCUGGCGGCGAGUGGCGAACGGGUGAGUAAUACAUCGGAACGUGCCCUAGAGUGGGGGAUAACUAGUCGAAAGAUUAGCUAAUACCGCAUACGAUCUUAGGAUGAAAGUGGGGGACCGCAAGGCCUCAUGCUCCUGGAGCGGCCGAUGUCUGAUUAGCUUGUUGGUGGGGUAACGGCCCACCAAGGCGACGAUCAGUAGCUGGUCUGAGAGGACGACCAGCCACACUGGGACUGAGACACGGCCCAGACUCCUACGGGAGGCAGCAGUGGGGAAUUUUGGACAAUGGGGGAAACCCUGAUCCAGCAAUGCCGCGUGUGUGAAGAAGGCCUUCGGGUUGUAAAGCACUUUUGUCAGGAACGAAACGGUGGGGGCUAAUACCUUCUGCUAAUGACGGUACCUGAAGAAUAAGCACCGGCUAACUACGUG